rnacentral:rRNA from 1 species
AGUAACACGUGGAUAACCUACCUAUAAGACUGGGAUAACUUCUGUAAACCGGAGCUAAUACCGGAUAAUAUUUUGAACCGCAUGGUUCAAAAGUGAAAGACGGUCUUGCUGUCACUUAUAGAUGGAUCCGCGCUGCAUUAGCUAGUUGGUAAGGUAACGGCUUACCAAGGCAACGAUGCAUAGCCGACCUGAGAGGGUGAUCGGCCACACUGGAACUGAGACACGGUCCAG